rfam:Flavobacterium fluvii strain DSM 19978 genome assembly, contig: Ga0131141_105
UUUGCACCGGCAAGUCCUACACGACCAGCUCCUGCAGAAUCCCCCAGGAUGGGAACAUAGCAAGGGUAAGUGGUUGAGCGGUGCGAUGUAGGUCGCUUGCCAUUUU